rnacentral:lncRNA from 1 species
UUUGUUAGACAUAUGUUGGUAGUAGGCUUGAUCUUGUAUAUGUGCAGGCUUGAAUGUUGUGCAGUAGGCCUAAGCUGGCAGGCCUGGCUUGGCUGGCCUGAGGUUGGGCGCGCGCGUGUGGCUUGCGUGUGGGCCAAGUUAGUUAGUUAGCUUUGUUGUUAGUUUGUUGUAACUGUUUUUACUCUUUGAUCUUUGGCUAUAUAAUGCCUAAGACUA